CUAUACCAUAUUCUGUACACCUGGUUAGCCCACAGAGAGAGAGAGAGAGAGAUGAAAUGCCACUUCCUCAGCGGUCUUCAUGUACCACCGAAUUUUAGUUUGUGGAUCAGAUAUUUCAUAUGAAAGCCAUUGCAAACGGAAACCCCUAAAUGUGCAGGGUUUAAAAAAUGUUGUGAUAUGAGGUAGACCUUAAAAAUCUCUCCGAAUAGACCGUAGCUCGUAUGGGCUAUUACCCCAUUGCUUCAAAAAGAUAAGUAGGCAUUGCUCCCACGGCCAACAUAAAUACAUAAUUCUUCCAGUGGCAAAGAUGACUCAAUUAUCGAUCUCUAUGACAACGAAAUACCAAACAUCGGCCUUGCAUCUGGGGAUCUUCAUACAACAACCUCAACAAAUUACUCAAGAAAUGGAACCAACCAUAAACAUCAAGUUGUAGAGAGCAGCUACUGGAUGAAACCACAC